rnacentral:rRNA from 1 species
CGAAAGCCUGACGGAGCAAGACCGCGUGAGGGAGGAAGGCCCUUGGGUUGUAAACCUCUUUUCUCAGGGAAGAAAACUGACGGUACCUGAGGAAUAAGCCUCGGCUAACUCCGUGCCAGCAGCCGCGGUAAUACGGAGGAGGCAAGCGUUAUCCGGAAUUAUUGGGCGUAAAGCGUCCGCAGGUGGUCUGGCAAGUCUGCUGUCAAAGACCGGGGCUUAACUCCGGAAAGGCAGUGGAAACUGCGAGACUAGAGUGCGGUAGGGGUAGAGGGAAUUCCCGGUGUAGCGGUGAAAUGCGUAGAGAUCGGGAAGAACAUCGGUGGCGAAAGCGCUCUACUGGGCCGCAACUGACACUCAGGGACGAAAGCUAGGGGAGCG